rnacentral:lncRNA from 11 species
CAAAAAGCUGAAAAUAAAAUGCCAAAGCAAAAUGUGUCUCAGAUCAAUCUUUUAGAAAAGUUGAUGCUCAAAGAAGGUGUUACUUAUCUUAGAAGAUUUGUGUUGCAAAAAAGCAGCAACCAUGGAGAAGUUGUGUGAAAGUUGGACAAGCAUGCUGAGACCAGGCUUCAAAUCCCAGAUCAGCCAUGGAAACCCGUUGGACAACCCACUGGGCAUGUUACACUCUCUUAGCCUCCAAGGAUUGCAAUGGCAAUCUUCCUCUGAAUAAAUCUUGGCAAGAAAGAUUGCCAUAAGUCAGAGCUGACAUGAAGACACAUUAGGGCAACAGAGAAGCAAAGAGUAGAUGGAAGACUUUUGCCAGAAUUAUUUCUUCACGUGGCAGCUGAAGAAGCAAGGAAAGCAUUUAAUACAUGAUAGUUUGAUGAUAACUGAGAACUCUUUGAAGCCCAACCUUGGAUCCAAACCAGCAGAUGGACCAGCAGCCAUAACCUUCUCACAAAAACCUGUUUUUCGUUUUAUAUCUUUUUUAUUAAAGGCCUGUAGACAUAUGCUGAUACAUAUCAGUGCACAUGCGGACCAGAACUGCAGCAGCAAAUCUCACACAAAGACUCAAUCCUUUCCCAAUCCUUUUAAUAAAAUAU